rnacentral:rRNA from 1 species
UGAGGAAUAUUGCGCAAUGGAGGCAACUCUGACGCAGCAACGCCGCGUGGGUGAAGAAGGCUUUCGGGUUGUAAAGCCCUGUCAGGUGGGAAGAAACCUCUUUGAGUAAAUAGCUCAGAGAACUGACGGUACCACCAAAGGAAGCACCGGCUAACUCCGUGCCAGCAGCCGCGGUAAGACGGAGGGUGCAAGCGUUGUUCGGAAUCACUGGGCGUAAAGCGCGUGUAGGCGGUCCGAUUAGUCGAGUGUGAAAGCCCGAGGCUCAACCUCGGAAGCGCAUUCGAAACUGUCGGGCUUGAGUACGGGAGAGGGAAGUGGAAUUCCUGGUGUAGAGGUGAAAUUCGUAGAUAUCAGGAGGAACACCGGUGGCGAAGGCGGCUUCCUGGACCGAUACUGACGCUGAGACGCGAAAGCGUGGGGAGCAAACA